rnacentral:rRNA from 1 species
CCUACGGGUGGCAGCAGUGGGGAAUCUUGCACAAUGGGGGAAACCCUGAUGCAGCGACGCCGCGUGAGUGAAGAAGUAAUUCGUUAUGUAAAGCUCUAUCAGCAGGGAAGAAAAUGACGGUACCUGAGUAAGAAGCCUCUGCUAACUACUUGUCAGCAGCCGCGGUAAUACUUAGUGGGCAAGCGUUGGCCGGAUUUACUGGGUGUAACGGGAGCGUAGACGGCAGUGCAAGUCUGGAGUGAAAGGCGGGGGCUCAACCUGCGGACUGCACUAGAAACUGUAUGGCUUGAGUGCAGGAGAGGUAAGUGGAAUUCCUAGUGUAGCGGUGAAAUGCGUAGAUAUUAGGAGGAACACCAGUGGCGAAGGCGGCUUACUGGACUGUAACUGACGUUGAGGCUCGAAAGCAUGGGGAGCAAACAGGAUUAGAUACCCUGGUAGUC